GGUUAAGCGACUAAGCGUACACGGUGGAUGCCCUGGCAGUCAGAGGCGAUGAAGGACGUGCUAAUCUGCGAUAAGCGUCGGUAAGGUGAUAUGAACCGUUAUAACCGGCGAUUUCCGAAUGGGGAAACCCAGUGUGUUUCGACACACUAUCAUUAACUGAAUCCAUAGGUUAAUGAGGCGAACCGGGGGAACUGAAACAUCUAAGUACCCCGAGGAAAAGAAAUCAACCGAGAUUCCCCCAGUAGCGGCGAGCGAACGGGGAGCAGCCCAGAGCCUGAAUCAGUGUGUGUGUUAGUGGAAGCGUCUGGAAAGGCGCGCGAUACAGGGUGACAGCCCCGUACACAAAAAUGCACAUACUGUGAGCUCGAUGAGUAGGGCGGGACACGUGGUAUCCUGUCUGAAUAUGGGGGGACCAUCCUCCAAGGCUAAAUACUCCUGACUGACCGAUAGUGAACCAGUACCGUGAGGGAAAGGCGAAAAGAA
rnacentral:rRNA from 1 species